GACGAACGCUGGCGGCGUGCCUAAUACAUGCAAGUUGAGCGAUGAAGGUUGAUACUUGUCCCAACUGGAUGAGCAGCGAACGGGUGAGUAACGCGUGGGGAAUCUGCCUUUGAGCGGGGGACAACAUUUGGAAACGAAUGCUAAUACCGCAUAAAAACUUUAAACACAAGUUUUAAGUUUGAAAGAUGCAAUUGCAUCACUCAAAGAUGAUCCCGCGUUGUAUUAGCUAGUUGGUGAGGUAAAGGCUCACCAAGGCGAUGAUACAUAGCCGACCUGAGAGGGUGAUCGGCCACAUUGGGACUGAGACACGGCCCAAACUCCUACGGGAGGCAGCAGUAGGGAAUCUUCGGCAAUGGACGAAAGUCUGACCGAGCAACGCCGCGUGAGUGAAGAAGGUUUUCGGAUCGUAAAACUCUGUUGGUAGAGAAGAACGUUGGUGAGAGUGGAAAGCUCAUCAAGUGACGGUAACUACCCAGAAAGGGACGGCUAACUACGUG
rnacentral:rRNA from 1 species